AUUGAACGCUGGCGGCAUGCCUUACACAUGCAAGUCGAACGGUAACAGGUCUUCGGAUGCUGACGAGUGGCGAACGGGUGAGUAAUACAUCGGAACGUGCCCAAUCGUGGGGGAUAGCUCGGCGAAAGCCGGAUUAAUACCGCAUACGAUCUACGGAUGAAAGCAGGGGAUCGCAAGACCUUGCGCGAAUGGAGCGGCCG
rnacentral:rRNA from 1 species